CAUUACCGAGUUUACAACUCCCAAACCCCUGUGAACAUACCUUAAUGUUGCCUCGGCGGAUCAGCCCGCGCCCCGUAAAACGGGACGGCCCGCCAGAGGACCCAAACUCUAAUGUUUCUUAUUGUAACUUCUGAGUAAAACAAACAAAUAAAUCAAAACUUUCAACAACGGAUCUCUUGGUUCUGGCAUCGAUGAAGAACGCAGCAAAAUGCGAUAAGUAAUGUGAAUUGCAGAAUUCAGUGAAUCAUCGAAUCUUUGAACGCACAUUGCGCCCGCUGGUAUUCCGGCGGGCAUGCCUGUUCGAGCGUCAUUUCAACCCUCAAGCCCCCGGGUUUGGUGUUGGGGAUCGGCUCUGCCUUCUGGCGGUGCCGCCCCCGAAAUACAUUGGCGGUCUCGCUGCAGCCUCCAUUGCGUAGUAGCUAACACCUCGCAACUGGAACGCGGCGCGGCCAUGCCGUAAAACCCCAACUUCUGAAUGUUGACCUCGGAUCAGGUAGGAAUACCCGCUGAACUUAAGCAUAUCAA
rnacentral:rRNA from 2 species